rnacentral:misc_RNA from 1 species
GUAACAAGGUUUCCGUAGGUGAACCUGCGGAAGGAUCAUUAAAGAUUGACCGAAAGGUCUUAUCUCUAUAUCCCUCACCUCUGUGAACUGUGGACCUCCGGGUCUAUUUAACAAACAUCAGUGUAAUGAACGUAUAUAUCAUUAAACAAAACAAAACUUUCAACAACGGAUCUCUUGGCUCUCGCAUCGAUGAAGAACGCAGCGAAAUGCGAUAAGUAAUGUGAAUUGCAGAAUUCAGUGAAUCAUCGAAUCUUUGAACGCACCUUGCGCCUUUUGGUAUUCCGAAAGGCAUGCCUGUUUGAGUGUCAUGAAAUCUCAAUCCCCCUGGGUUUAUGAUCUGGGUCGGACUUGGAUAUGGGCGUCUGCCGGUCACACGGCUCGCCUCAAAUGACUUAGUGGAUCUCUCUGCAUCCGUGACAGACGUAAUAAGUUUCGUCUUGUCCCUUGCUUAUGAGUCUGCUCAUAACCUGCCAUCGCGCACUUUAGACUCUGACCUCAAAUCAGGUAGGACUACCCGCUGAACCUAAGCAUAUC